UUUCAAUUCAAUUUUCAUAGACUACACAUGAACGAGAAAAGGACAACGAUUAAUAAUGAGAAUUAGUAUGGUGUAUCAUUAUUCAUGUUUCAACGCAUCCCAAAUCCUAUAUUCAGACGAAUUAUAACGGAAAUCUACCGGAAAUUCAGAUCACAAUGUGAUGGAUGUUGAACAAAUCAAAAAACCCAUGGUUUAGCAAUUGGCCCGUUUAUUUGUGGUGAAAUUUUUCAUACUCAUGCAUGAUAAAUGUUUGUCACUUUCUCUAAUCACACAUCUGUAUAAAAAAUAUCUGCGAUAAAAAUUAAAGAUUGGCUCAUCUACAUAAUAA